CCUAACCGUAUAUCGCACAAUCCCCUCCGCCGUUCAAUCGCUCCUCCACUGCCGUUCAUUCUCCUUCACCGUUCAUUCUCCUUCACAGUUUAAUCUCGAACUCUACAACCCCUCCGCCGUUGUUCUCUGCUUUUCCAAGUAGAAGAGAAGAAAAUGGAAGGGAAGAGAAGUGUGCGUAUGUGCUGUUUAUGCAAUGAGAGAAGAGCAUCUCUUAGCAGACCUAAAACUCUUGAACAGAUUUGCAGAGAAUGCUUCUAUCUUGCCUUCGAAGACGAGAUUCAUCAAAUCAUCGUCUCCAACCGCCUCUUCAUCCGUGGCGACCGCGUAGCUAUUGGCGCUUCCGGCGGUAAAGACUCCACCGUCCUCGCCUACGUUUUAUCGAAACUCAACCGCAUCCAUGAUUACGGCCUCCAUCUCUUCCUCCUCUCCGUCGACGAGGGCAUCACCGGCUACCGCGACGAUUCUCUCGAAACAGUUCACAGAAACCAGAUUCAGUAUGGUUUGCCUCUGAAAGUUGUAUCCUACAAGGAUUUGUACGGAUGGACCAUGGACGAAAUCGUGAAACUGAUCGGUCUGAAGAAUAACUGCACCUUCUGCGGCGUGUUCCGUAGACAGGCGCUUGAUCGAGGCGCAGCAUUCCUUAAAGCAGAUAAACUUGUGACAGGACACAACGCUGACGAUAUAGCUGAGACAGUUCUGUUGAACAUAUUGAGAGGAGAUAUAGCUAGAUUGAGUAGAUGCAGUUCAAUAAUAACAGGUGAAGAUGGACCAAUCCCUAGAUGCAAACCUUUUAAGUAUACUUACGAAAAGGAGAUUGUUAUGUAUGCUUAUUUCAAAAAGCUUGAUUACUUUUCCACUGAAUGCAUUUAUUCUCCAAAUGCAUAUCGUGGUUUUGCUCGCGAGUUCAUCAAGGAUUUGGAGAGAAUCAGACCCAGGGCCAUUCUCGACAUCAUCAAAUCCGGUGAGAAUUUUAGGAUUUCUACCACUACUAAAAUGCCAGAGCAGGGAACCUGUGAACGCUGUGGUUAUAUUUCUAGUCAGAAAUGGUGUAAAGCUUGUGUUCUGCUUGAUGGACUGAAUCGAGGUUUGCCUAAACUGGGAAUUGGACGGAGUCGGGUUGCUAUUGGUUGCAAAGAAGAAAAUGAAAGCCAUGGAGGAAAGAGCAUCGAAAGCAAACAGUGUGGAUCUUUAGACUUCUGAUUUUCUAUGUAAGCAUCAUAUAAAUCAGUGGGUUCUAUGUACUAUUGAUAAUCAAAGGUAACUGCAGUUAAUAUCUAUCGGUGAAUUUCAUGACAGUUAGUAGAGAUGUAGAUACAUCUGAUGACAAAAAGUAUAAGACAAAUAGACUUUGUAGCACAACUUUGCAUCUCAAGACAUUGAUCAAAACGAUAAGUCUAGGAAUAGUUGCAUUAUUUGCAGAUUUUUUUCACAUCUCUAGCUUAAUUUUUGUGAGCAUUACUUUGUCCUACAGUUAUUUGUAUCCUUGUACUCAGAAUUUGUCGCUACAUCUCAACAAUGUACUUUAGAAUUCAACCUCAAGCAUUGGCUUGGAUAUCCUUGAGCAUGCAACUUGAGUUUUGGAGAUUAAUGACCCUGCAGAUAUCCAAAAAUGAAUGGUUCAUGGAAGUUGAUGAUAUUUGUUUGUAGCAAAUAUGUGAAUUGCUGGAGUUUUGCUUUGAUGUGCAAUACAAUUUAUCUUUGGCACAUUAGCAGCCCGCCAUCAAUUAGCUUUUCUAUUUACUCAUAUUCAAAAGGUUGCAGAAGCAAAUAAUUUCUGACACAUUCUUUUUUCAAGUGUCAUGGUGGUAAUGAAAUAAUUGAGUCUACUCAUUUAUUUAAAAUUGUAGCUUUAUAUUUUGGGAAAUUCUGUUCUCUCUUGCAUUGCUCAAAAUCAACAAAAACUCUUACACGAGAAGUUGGAUUCCGGUGACCUGCGUGUCCUUAUAUUUUAGAGCAAGGCUUGAUGAGAUAAAGAAUAGAAAAGCAUUACUUUUGCCCUGAUACUACAGAAUCACACCAAUUGUUUAUUGUACCAAGGAGCCGGAGCAGGCAUUCUUUAAAGGUUAAUUGAAUUCGUG